ACGUACUGGAGUAGUAUUCAUCGGUUAGUUGUCCAUCGACGUAAGGUAUAGAAAGGAACCGUGAUAAUUCCUAGCUAAUGGGGGAGCCCGGAGAAGGAGCUUCGUUGGGAUCAGCUAGGGCGCCCAUGGACCCUCCCGCAGACCUUGUUGAAGCUGAGGAGUCGGAUCCGGUUGCCGAAGUUACCGCAUCAUCAUCAUCAGAAUCGGAAGAAGAGAAGGUAUGUAUGAUUUGUUCAUCGAAUUAUGAAAAUAUAAGCCAUCAGGAAAGGCAAGCCGGACCUCUUUUGUUCAGUGGUUCCAGAGAACCAGUUUCUGACCAUGGCCUAGUGCACGGAUCGUGUUAGGCUCAUAGUGGACAGAUCCAACCGCGUCGUGCGAA